AUUCCAGCUCCAAUAGCGUAUAUUAAGUUGUUGCAGUUAAAAAGCUCGUAGUUGGAUCUUGGGUCGUAAGGGCCGGUCCGCCUACUCGGUGUGCACCUGCCCUUCCGUCCCUUUUGUCGGCGGCGUGCUCCUGGCCUUAAUUGGCUGGGUCGCGGUUCCGGCGCUGUUACUUUGAAAAAAUUAGAGUGUUUAAAGCAGGCUUAGGCCGUUGAAUACAUUAGCAUGGAAUAAUAAGAUAGGACUUUGGUGGUCUAUUUUGUUGGUUUGCACACCAAGGUAAUGAUUAAUAGGGACAGUUGGGGGUAUCCGUAUUUCGUAGUCAGAGGUGAAAUUCUUGGAUUUACGAAAGACGAACUACUGCGAAAGCAUUUACCAAGGAUGUUUUCAUUA
rnacentral:rRNA from 1 species